UAACAAUCGGUGCCUAGCGGCUGUAGAAAGCAGUCGCAAAACAAGACUAACAUGUUGGUCUUGCUAGUCGAUUUGUGACUUUAUUUACGUCGUGACGUCACGGAGUAAGCUCUGAAAAUAUCAGGAGCAAAUUGGUACGUGUGAACCCGCCUUUAGUGUGUGUGUGUGUGUGUGUGAUAGUGCCAGGCAGGGCAGUGCGCAUACAGUUCUUCAUUACAUGACGUGUGAUGACGUCACGCUGUUUUUCCGCUAAUAUAAUCAACCGACUCUCGUCUCUCAGUUUGUGGCCUACGAGAGGCCAAGGCAGGAGCACGUGACCCGUAAAUAAGCGGAACUUCACUUCCUUGGCGAGAGUGGUUUCAGCUGGGAACAGGGUGAGGACUGAGGACCUCCAUCAGUUUACGAGCGGCUAGCUGUGACUCUUCAUCGUAGCCACCGCCGCCACCACCAUCAGCGCUAACGCCCCCACUGCUGGAAGAGGAGACACACACAUUUAAAAAAGUCUGCAAAUUUGUCAAUGUAAGCAAAAUUCUAAUAAAUUGAUAACUGUAA